ensembl:lncRNA
UGAUCAAUUUAGUUUAAUACAGGUUCUCAUAUUCAUGGCUUUAUUUUCCUGUAAGGUGACAAGUGAUAAUCUCAAAGUUUUCUGGAUUUCUUAUCAUUCUUAUAUGAUUACUUGCUCUUUUGUUCCUACUGUGGGUUUUAGUCCAUCAUCCAGAUGGUGGUGGUUGAGGAGAUUCCCUCGCCCCCAUACAAUGAAUAGCGCUUUGAUUUUACAGGCUUGGUUGGUUUCCAAGGAUUUUAGGAGGACGAGCGCGUGGCUCAUUGUUACUGUUACAUUUAUUUUUUCUUUCAGGUGGCAGGUGGAGUUAGCCGGCGGUAGGUUUGAGCUAUAUGGCGGUAGGUUGGCGGUAUAUGGCGGUAUAUGGCGGGAGGUGGAGUUCGACGUCAUGAAGGUCUUCUUCGCUUAGCCCCGUCCUAGCUCACGGUACGGAGCCAGGCAAAAGUCUUAAGGUGACCCUUAGGCCGGUUAGCUCAGAUGGUUAGAGCGUGGUGCUAAUAACGCCAAGGUCACGGGUUCGAUCCCCGUACGGGCCAUGAGAUGCUCUUAUCUUCAGACAAAUUCUCAGGACUGAUUCACUGACA